GACGAACGCUGGCGGCGUGCUUAACACAUGCAAGUCGAACGGAGCGAAUGAAAGCUUGCUUUUAUAAGCUUAGUGGCAAACGGGUGAGUAACACGUAGACAACCUGCCGACAGGAUGGGGACAACAUUCCGAAAGGGAUGCUAAUACCGAAUGAAGCGGAGGAGAGGCAUCUCCCCUCCGUGAAAGAUGGCCUCUUUUUAUGCUAUCACCUGUCGAUGGGCCUGCGUCUGAUUAGCUGGUAGGUGAGGUAACGGCUCACCUAGGCGACGAUCAGUAGCCGGUCUGAGAGGAUGAACGGCCACAUUGGGACUGAGACACGGCCCAGACUCCUACGGGAGGCAGCAGUGGGGAAUCUUCCGCAAUGGGCGCAAGCCUGACGGAGCAACGCCGCGUGAGUGAAGAAGGUCUUCGGAUCGUAAAGCUCUGUUGAUAGGGACGAACGUGCCUAAUGCGAAUAGUUUUAGGCAAUGACG
rnacentral:rRNA from 1 species